rnacentral:rRNA from 1 species
GUGAACGCUGGCGGUAGGCCUAACACAUGCAAGUCGAACGGCAGCACAGUAAGAGCUUGCUCUUACGGGUGGCGAGUGGCGGACGGGUGAGGAAUACAUCGGAAUCUACUUUUUCGUGGGGGAUAACGUAGGGAAACUUACGCUAAUACCGCAUACGACCUACGGGUGAAAGCAGGGGAUCUUCGGACCUUGCGCGAUUGAAUGAGCCGAUGUCGGAUUAGCUAGUUGGCGGGGUAAAGGCCCACCAAGGCGACGAUCCGUAGCUGGUCUGAGAGGAUGAUCAGCCACACUGGAACUGAGACACGGUCCAGACUCCUACGGGAGGCAGCAGUGGGGAAUAUUGGACAAUGGGCGCAAGCCUGAUCCAGCCAUACCGCGUGGGUGAAGAAGGCCUUCGGGUUGUAAAGCCCUUUUGUUGGGAAAGAAAAGCAGCAGGUUAAUACCCCGCUGUUUUGACGGUACCCAAAGAAUAAGCACCGGCUAACUUCGUG